UGGGGAAUCUUAGACAAUGGGGGAAACCCUGAUCUAGCCAUGCCGCGUGAGCGAUGAAGGCCUUAGGGUUGUAAAGCUCUUUCAGCUGGGAAGAUAAUGACGGUACCAGCAGAAGAAGCCCCGGCUAACUCCGUGCCAGCAGCCGCGGUAAUACGGAGGGGGCUAGCGUUGUUCGGAAUUACUGGGCGUAAAGCGCACGUAGGCGGAUUAGUCAGUCAGAGGUGAAAUCCCAGGGCUCAACCCUGGAACUGCCUUUGAUACUGCUAGUCUUGAGGUCGAGAGAGGUGAGUGGAAUUUCCGAGUGUAGAGGUGAAAUUCGUAGAUAUUCGGAGGAACACCAGUGGCGAAGGCGGCUCACUGGCUCGAUACUGACGCUGAGGUGCGAAAGCGUGGGGAGCAAAACAGGAUUAGAUACCCUGGUAGUCCACGCCGUAAACGAUGAAUGCCAGUCGUCGGGUUGCAUGCAAUUCGGUGACACACCUAACGGAUUAAGCAUUCCGCCUGGGGAGUACGGUCGCAAGAUUAAAACUCAAAUGAAUUGACGGGGUCAUAGCUGUUUCCUG
rnacentral:rRNA from 1 species